UCGGAGGAAAGACAGAAGAUUAGGUGGUGCGGAAAUUCGGCCCUUUUUUCCCUUACCUUUUCCAUUCAAAGAAUAUUUCUGAUUCAAUCUUUCUGAUUUCACGCUUCGAUUGUUUUCGUUUUCUCUCGCAAGUUUGGUUUUGUUUUUAUAUCUAUCUCCAAUUCAAAUUCAAAUUCAAAUUCAAAGGAAUUUAUGACUCUUUAUGAGCUAGAUCCUGACGUAGUGAGGUGGAAUCUUCACCUUAUUGAUGUUUGUGGUAUAAACAAUGGUGGUUCUCUCGGAACUGUUACUCAAUAUGACACAGAUUUUUCUCAGCUUGGGUAUGCAAGAGAAGGUUAUGCUGAGCCUAUGCAUAUUAACGUGGAGAAUGAUGAGGUAAUUGCCCAUGCUCUUCAGGAGGAACUAUCACGGCUUUCACUGGACGAAUCCAUAGGAUCUUCACACACUGAUGAAGAAGAACAUCGAAAAGCAUCAGUUCUUGCUCAGGAUUGGGCUGCACCCUCAACGAGGUUUUCCAAUCUCGCAGUUGAUGGCAUUCAGGAAGACACAGAUAGUACUGGAUUUUGCCCUCUUACAGUUACAUCAUCCAAUUGGGAGUCACCAGAGAUAGAGGAUGAAUCUCUUCUUGAUGGUGAAGUUGGGAAACGUUUGAAUCAGUUGGAUGCCAUCCCUCAUGUUCCCAAAAUUAAUGGAGAUAUACCCUCAGUAGAUGAAGCCAAAUCAGAUCAUCAAAGGCUGAUGGAUAGGUUGGAAGUAUAUGAUCUAGUUGAGUUAAAAGUUUCUGGAGAUGGCAAUUGUCAGUUCCGCUCACUGUCGGACCAAAUAUAUCGCAGUACUGAGCAUCACAAAUUUGUGAGGGAACAAGUUGUUAAACAGCUCAAGUCCCAUAGGGAGUUGUAUGAGGGUUAUGUUCCAAUGGUCUAUGAUGAAUACUUGAAGAAAAUGAGCAAGGCUGGCGAAUGGGGUGAUCAUGUAACUUUGCAGGCUGCUGCAGAUUCAGCCAUCCUUUUUCAUGAUCAAGCUUGUGGAAAUUCUUUUUAGGCUUAAUACAUACAUUCUCCUGAGGUUGUCCCCAUAUUUCUGUUACACACCCCUUGACCACGUGAAUUACCCUAGACGCCCAAAUUCGUUUAAAGUGUAGCUUUUACACCACUUUUGUGUUUAACCACUUCAGAAAACAGGGUGUAUUUUCAUGCACUAACAAUGGUGUGAUGCGUGUCAUUAAAUUUAUAAAAGUAAAACACUUACAAUUACAAUCAUACCCCUUAGCCAUUCUCCCUUCAUCUCUUUUUCUUCGGUAAUGCAACUCCACUGCCGCAAACCACCAGAAAACCCAGAACCAUCACCUUCCUAUUCAAACCAAAACAUAGGAACUUAAAUCAAUUUUAGUCCCAAUUCCAGAUUUAACUUUCAUCCAAAAAAGUAGGACUAGAACUCUCAAACUCCAUCAUCCUCCUCACUUGCAACUGCAUUACAAACCCAGAAUUUUUCCAGCGGAGAGAAAGAGAGACCUGCAUAGAAAUUUAAAUUUGCAUAUGUUGGGAACUUCCUUCCUACUAGCUAUUUACUGCAUAUGGGUAAAAAUGGUGAUAUCAAAUCCCUCAUAUGAGAUAGAAGAACCAGAUCUUGGCCAGAAUUUUCUCCAUUGACCAUUUCUGCCUCCUGUUUCUUCACACUCUUGAGUCCUUUUUAGAAUUGGCAAAUAGGAGAUGAAUUAUGCAUCAGAAUUAUGGUGAUAUAUUAUGGUAGCUUUCUGGUGUGAAAACACUGAUGGAGAUAAUUUUAAGGUGGAAACUUGUGAUUUUUGGCUGGUAGUAAUGGAAAUGGUUAAGAGGUGGCGGCGCUGGUGUAGAAAGAAGGUGAAAAAACUAUCAAUUUUUCCUUUAAAAAAAUGAAUAUCAUUGCAAAAAAAGUAAUCUUUUUUUAGCAUUCACUUGUCAGUUCUGUGUGUCAACACAAGUGUGACACAUAGGUGGUAAGGUGUGUAAUAGACACUCGUUUGAAAUGUUUGGGUGUGGAAACCCAAAGGGUAGCGGCGGCGGGUUUCCCUUAUCAUCAAAAAAAAAAAUGUUUAGGUGUCGAAGAUGAUUCUCGUGGUCAACAAUUAUGCAACAGGGAUUUGGGGACUACCUCAGGGAGCAAUCUAUGUAUUAAGCCUUUAUUUUAUAAUGCUAGUGUAUGGUGUUAAGAUGUUCGUCAUUACAUCAUUUAAGGACACCUGCUACAUUGAGAUUCUUCCACAAAGUCUGAAGUCAAACAGAA